GCAUAUCAAUAAGCGGAGGAAAAGAAAAUAACAAUGAUUCCCCUAGUAACUGCGAGUGAAGAGGGACAAGCUCAAAUUUUAAAUCUGUCGGGUUCUACCUGACCGAGUUGUAAUUUGAAGAGGCGUUUUCUGUGUUUCUGAUCAGUCCAAGUCCUUUGGGAUAAGGCAUCACGGAGGGUGAGAAUCCCGUUCGGUUGAUCAGAUUCGCUUUAUGAUACGUCAUCAAAGAGUCAAGUUGUUUGGGAUUGCAGCUUAAAAUGGGAGGUAAAUUUCUCCUAAGGCUAAAUAACGGCGAGAGACCGAUAGCGAACAAGUACCGUGAGGGAAAGAUGAAAAGAACUUUGAAAAGAGAGUUAAAUAGUACGUGAAAUUGUUGAAAGGGAAACGAUUGAAGCCAGUCGUACCUGCGGGUAAUCAGCCUUUUGGGCAUGAUUCUGUGGAGCGUGAGGAGUUAAACGCCUUCAUGCCUGCAUAUUCGUGUACUUUGGGUGUACUUGCCUGUGUGGUUAGUUAACAUCAAUUUUGGUUAUCAUAAAAUGGCUGGAGGAAUGUAGCUUCGAUUUCGAUUGAAGUGUUAUAGCCUUCGGCAGAUGUGAUGAUCGGGAUUGAGGAUUGCAACGGAUACCCUUCGGGGCUACCUGUCUGAUCUCUGAUCGUUGCUUUGGUGCCGAAAGCGUGCUUACGGUUAUCAAAGUCGAUGGUUAAUAGGUUAGAACGGGUUAAAUUCGUUAAGGAUGUUGACGUA
rnacentral:rRNA from 1 species